rnacentral:rRNA from 1 species
AUUGAACGCUGGCGGCAGGCCUAACACAUGCAAGUCGAGCGAGCGGCGGACGGGUGAGUAAUGUCUGGGAAACUGCCUGAUGGCGGGGGGUAACUAAUGGAAACGGUAGCUAAUACCGCAUACCAUCAGAUGUGCCCCGAUGGGAUUAGCUAGUAGGUGGGGGAACGGCUCACCUAGGCGACGAUCCCUAUCUGGUCUGAGCGGAUGACCAGCCACACUGGAACGUGGACACGGUCCAGACUCCUACGGGAGGCAGCAGGGGGGAAUAUUGCACAAGGGGCGCAAGCCUGAUGCAGCCAUGCCGCGUGUGUGAAGAAGGCCUUCGGGUUGUAAAGCACUUUCAGCGUGGAGGCGUUACCCGCAGAAGAAGCACCGGCUAACUCCGUGCCAGCAGCCGCGGUAAUUC